rnacentral:rRNA from 1 species
GACGAACGCUGGCGGCGUGCUUAACACACGCAAGUCGAGCGGUAAGGCCCUUUCGGGGGUACACGAGCGGCGAACGGGUGAGUAACACGUGGGUGACCUGCCCUCAGCUCUGGGAUAAGCCUGGGAAACCGGGUCUAAUACUGGAUAUGACUCCAUGACGCAUGUUGUGGGGUGGAAAGCCUUGUGCGGCUGAGGAUGGGCCCGCGGCCUAUCAGCUUGUUGGUGGGGUGAUGGCCUACCAAGGCGACGACGGGUAGCCGGCCUGAGAGGGCGACCGGCCACACUGGGACUGAGACACGGCCCAGACUCCUACGGGAGGCAGCAGUGGGGAAUCUUGCGCAAUGGGCGAAAGCCUGACGCAGCGACGCCGCGUGAGGGNU